rnacentral:rRNA from 1 species
CCUACGGGAGGCAGCAGUGGGGGAUAUUGCACAAUGGGGGAAACCCUGAUGCAGCGACGCCGCGUGUAGGAUGACGGUCCUCUGGAUUGUAAACUACUGUCCCCAGGGACGAAGAUGACGGUACCUGGGGAGGAAGCUCCGGCUAACUACGUACCAGCAGCCGCGGUAAUACGUAGGGCGCGAGCGUUGUCCGGAGUUACUGGGGGUAACGGGAGCGUAGGCGGGGAUGAAAGUUGGGUGUUAAAUCUACCGUUUCAACUGGUAGUCGACUUCAAAACUGCAGCUCUUGAGUGAAGUAGAGGCAGGCGGAAUUCCUGGUGUAGCGGUGAAAUGCGUAGAGAUUAGGAGGAACACCAGUGGCGAAGGCGGCCUGCUGGGCUUUUACUGACGCUGAGGCUCGAAAGUGUGGGGAGCAAACAGGAUUAGAUACCCGUGUAGUC